rnacentral:rRNA from 1 species
UAGGUGACCUGCGGAAGGAUCAUUAC